rnacentral:rRNA from 1 species
AGUGGACGCUGGCGGUAGGCCUAACACAUGCAAGUCGAACGGCAGCACAGUAAGAGCUUGCUCUUACGGGUGGCGAGUGGCGGACGGGUGAGGAAUACAUCGGAUUCUACUUUUUCGUGGGGGAUAACGUAGGGAAAUUUACGCUAAUACCGCAUACGACCUACGGGUGAAAGCAGGGGAUCUUCGGACCUUGCGCGAUUGAAUGAGCCGAUGUCGGAUUAGCUAGUUGGCGGGGUAAAGGCCCACCAAGGCGACGAUCCGUAGCUGGUCUGAGAGGAUGAUCAGCCACACUGGAACUGAGACACGGUCCAGACUCCUACGGGAGGCAGCAGUGGGGAAUAUUGGACAAUGGGCGCAAGCCUGAUCCAGCCAUACCGCGUGGGUGAAGAAGGCCUUCGGGUUGUAAAGCCCUUUUGUUGGGAAAGAAAAGCAGCAGGUUAAUACCCCGCUGUUCUGACGGUACCCAAAGAAUAAGCACCGGCUAACUUCGUG